UCUGGUGAUUUGGCAAUGGGGUCACACCCGAUUACAUUCCGAACUCGGAAGUUAAGUCCAUCUGCGCCGAUGAUACUCUAUAAACGGGGAAAGUAGGUUGUCGCCAGAA
rnacentral:rRNA from 1 species